UAGUCAUAUGCUUGUCUCAAAGAUUAAGCCAUGCAUGUCUAAGUAUAAGCAAUUUAUACAGUGAAACUGCGAAUGGCUCAUUAAAUCAGUUAUAGUUUAUUUGAUAGUACCUUACUACUUGGAUAACCGUGGUAAUUCUAGAGCUAAUACAUGCUAAAAACCCCGACUGCUUGGGAGGGGUGUAUUUAUUAGAUAAAAAAUCAAUGCCCUCGGGCUCUUUGAUGAUUCAUAAUAACUUGUCGAAUCGCAUGGCUUUACGCCGGCGAUGGUUCAUUCAAAUUUCUGCCCUAUCAACUGUCGAUGGUAGGAUAGUGGCCUACCAUGGUGGCAACGGGUAACGGGGAAUAAGGGUUCGAUUCCGGAGAGGGAGCCUGAGAAACGGCUACCACAUCCAAGGAAGGCAGCAGGCGCGCAAAUUACCCAAUCCUAAUUCAGGGAGGUAGUGACAAUAAAUAACGAUACAGGGCCCUUCUGGGUCUUGUAAUUGGAAUGAGUACAAUGUAAAUACCUUAACGAGGAACAAUU
rnacentral:rRNA from 1 species